rnacentral:SRP_RNA from 1 species
GCCGGGCGUGGUGACGGGCGCCUGUAAUCCCAGCUACUCGGGAGGCUGAGGCAGGAGGAUCGCUUGAACCCAGGAGUCGGAGGUUGCAGUGAGCUGAGAUCGCGCCAUUGCACUCCAGCCUGGGCGACAGAGCGACACUCUGCCUCAA